rnacentral:rRNA from 1 species
GAUGAACGCUAGCGGCAGGCCUAAUACAUGCAAGUCAAGGGGUAGCAAUACACCGGCGGACGGGUGCGUAACGCGUACACAACAUACCUUUAAGCGGGGGAUAGCAUCGGGAAACUGGUGGUAAUACCCCAUAGUAUUGCGAUCCGGCAUUGGGUUGCAAUUAAAGUUCCGGCGCUUAGAGAUUGGUGUGCGUCUGAUUAGCUAGUUGGCGGGGUAACGGCCCACCAAGGCGACGAUCAGUAGGGGGUGUGAGAGCAUGACCCCCCCACAUGGGUACUGAGACACGGACCCAACUCCUACGGGAGGCAGCAGUAAGGAAUAUUGGACAAGUGGGACGGAACGCC